CCUACGGGAGGCAGCAGUGAGGAAUAUUGGUCAAUGGGCGCGAGCCUGAACCAGCCAAGUAGCGUGAAGGAUGACUGCCCUAUGGUUUGUAAACUUCUUUUAUAAAGGAAUAAAACGAGUCACGUGUUCCUUUUUGCAUUUACUUUAUGAAUAAGGAUCGGCUAACUCCGUGCCAUCAGCCGCGGUAAUACGGAGGAUCCGAUCGUUAUCCGGAUUUAUUGGGUUUAAAGGGAGCGUAGAGGGGUUGUUAAGUCAGUUGUGAAAGUUUGGGGCUCAACGGUGAAAUUGCAAUUGAUACUGGCAGUCUUGAGUACAGUUGAGGUAGGUGGAAUUCGAGGUGUAGCGGUGAAAUGCUUAGAUAUCAGGAAGAACACCGAUUGCGAAGGCAGCUUACUAAACUGUGACUGACAUUGAUGCUCGAAAGUGUGGGUAUCAAACAGGAUUAGAUACCCGAGUAGUC
rnacentral:rRNA from 1 species